GCCAGCAUACUCAUCAGCUUAGAAAAAUUUGACGAGGCUUUGGAUGUCCUAGAGGAGCUGAAAGAGUGUGCUCCUCGUGAAAGUAGUGUCUAUGCUUUGAUGGGCAAUAUCUAUAGAAGGCGUAACAUGCAUGAAAGAGCAAUGUUUCAUUAUGGUGUUGCUUUGGAUUUGAAACCAUCUGCAACAGAUGCUGCUGUCAUUAAGGCUGCUGUUGAGAAGUUGCAUAUACCCGAUGAGUUCGAAGACGGUUUGUAGCUCUACCUUUAAAGUGCGAGAUACAAGAUUGAAGCGGCAUGAAUGCUCAAGUAUUCAUCCAAACAGUCAUCAUUCCAUCUAAUUUUCGGAACUUUUAAACUGCAUACAGUUUUGUAGGAAAGUCGAAUAGGAUUAGAGAUAUGAUGUAUCAGAAGUACCAAGAAGCUCCUAUACUUGUACAAAUAGUUGCAUUAGGGAAGAUAGGUGUACCAUUAGUUUAUCCAUCCAUUUUGUUUAUAAAUCAACUCUUUAGUCUCAUCGCUGGUUUAAAUUAUUAGAA